UACGUAGGGACCGAGCGUUGUCCGGAAUCAUUGGGCGUAAAGAGCGUGUAGGCGGCCACUUAAGUCGUGCGUGAAAUCUUGCGGCUCAACCGCAAGCGGUCGUGGGAAACUGGGUGGCUAGAGUGCGGGAGAGGAGAGUGGAAUUCCUGGUGUAGCGGUGGAAUGCGCAGAUAUCAGGAGGAACACCGAUUGCGAAGGCAGCUCGCUGGAACGUUACUGACGCUGAGACGCGAAAGCGUGGGGAGCAAACAGG
rnacentral:rRNA from 1 species